GGUUGAUCCUGCCAGUAGUCAUAUGCUUGUCUCAAAGAUUAAGCCAUGCAUGUCUCAGUGUAAACUUUUAAACAGUGAAACUGCGAAUGGCUCAUUAAAACAGUUAUAGUUUAUUUGAUAAUCAUUUUUACAUGGAUAACCGUGGGAAUUCUAGGGCUAAUACAUGCGUAAACCCGCAAGGGAUGUGUUUAUUAGAUAAAAAUCAACGCUGUCUAACCACAGCAAUGUUGGAAUGAUAAUAACCGAUCGAAUCGCUUUAUUGCGAUGAAUCAUUCAAGUUUCUGACCUAUCA
rnacentral:rRNA from 1 species